GGAGAGACUGGCUGGCCCAAAGACCAGCAACCACUUGGCCGUGGCUGUCCCUUUCUGGAGGAGCUGUGGCUGCAGCAGAUCCCUGUGACUUAGUCCCAGCCCUCACAGGGCCUGCACCAGCACCAGGAGGCUCAUGACCAGGGCCAUGGAGAAGAAGAUGGCCAGGAAGAAGCGGUCCAUCACACGGGCCAGGCGCUUCCAGUCCUCAUGGCAGCGCUGGGCAGCUCGGUGGCUGCGGAAGGUAUUGGCAAUGGUGGCUACGUGGUGCAGUAGGGCUUCCUGGCGGCACAGACAUCGUGGCUCGUGGCAAGGGCCCGCUGGGGGGCCAGCCCCUCCUUCAGGCGACUGGGGGCUAGGAGAUAACUCAGGUGGCCUGGACUGCCCACAGGGCUCCCCUCUUUCCCGCACGCACAGGCCCCGUGCCAGGUGUCCCAGCAGGAGGGCCCUAGCCCAGGCUGGCACUGGGCGGACACUGGGACCACAGUAAUGCAGGUUCAUGAUAAGGAUGGUGAGUGCUGUUGAGAAUGUGACCAUGGUCAUAGUGGCCAUGUAGUACUUCCCUGCAAGAGAGAGAGAAAGCCAAUUGACUCAAAACAAAAGCCUGUGGUUCCUGAGCUUCCCAGCCACCUCUGCACAAAUGGAAAUAAGCCCACCAUGAAGCUCUCCAGACCCUCCAAGCCCCAUGGAUGGAAGCAGGAAGGAGGUAAGGGCCGAGUUCUCCCCAUCCUUCAUUCCUACACGUGGGUCAUCGGAAGCUACUGCUCUCUAAUUGCUCCCGUCACUGCUGGAGGCUGCACUCAUACACAAUCCAGGACAGUCCCGCUCUCAAAUAACGACGGGCAUGAGCUGGGGCAAGAUACGAAUCCUUUUUGUACAAAUGGGAUACCCAGAGGACCUACUUCCUAGGUUUGUGGUGAUGCUUACCUGAGUUAAUAAAGGUCAAGUGCUUAGGGGAGUGCCUGGCACACAGCAAGCAGUCGACAGAUUUUGCCUAUCAUUAGGAUCUGGGGAUACUGAUGUUCCAUCAUCAAGGGCCAAGUCGUGAGGGGUGUUCUCCCUGGAAGGAGCUAAUCCUUUCCCCUCAGUCUUAAAAUGAGGGCACGUUCCCAGGACGCCCCCCUCUCACUUUCUGCAGUGGGGCCGUUCCGCAGACCCAGGCCCUGUCGCGGCCCCGCCCUGGGGGGACCCCAGCGCAUCGUCAGGUCCCCCCGCGCCCCCGCUGCUCACCGAUGAGCGGCACGCUCUCGGCCGGUGGCAUGCUCUCGGCCAGCAGCAACUGGAAGACGGUGAGCGCCAGCAGCACGGUGACGCCCAGCGACACCUUCUCGCCUGAGUCGGCAGGCAGGUGGAAGGCGAGCGGCGCAAGCAGCGAGAUGAGCACGCAGGGCAGCAGCAGGUUGCACACGUAGGCGGCGGCGCGGCGGCGCAGCAGCAGCGUGAAGGUGACGUCGGGGUAGGGCUCGGAGCAGCAGCCGUAGGUGAGCACGCGCCGCCGCGCCGGCAUGCCCAGCACGCGCCACUCCACGUUCUCCACGAAGUCCGCCAGGCUGGCUGCAGCGCCGC
rnacentral:lncRNA from 1 species